rnacentral:rRNA from 1 species
CCUACGGGUUGCACCAGUGGGGAAUCUUGGGCAAUGGCCGAAAGGCUGACCCAGCGACGCCGCGUGUGGGAGGGCGCCCUUCGGGGUGUGAACCACUGUCACCCGGGACGAACGAGCGGGGAGGGAAUAUCUCUCCGCAGUGACGGUACCGGGGGAGGAAGCGCCGGCUAACUCCGUGCCAGCAGCCGCGGUAAGACAGAGGGCGCGAGCGUUGUUCGGAAUCACUGGGCGUAAAGCGCGCGCAGGCGGAAGUGGCAAGUUCGAAGUGAAAUUCCGGGGCUCAACUCCGGAACGGCUCCGAAGACUGCCCUUCUGGGGACCGGUAGAGGCCGGUGGAAUUGCUGGUGUGGCGGUGGAAUGCGUAGAGAUCAGCAAGAACACCCGUGGCGAAGGCGGCCGGCUGGGCCGGAUCCGACGCUGAGGCGCGAAAGCGUGGGGAGCAAACAGGAUUAGAUACCCGGGUAGUC